rnacentral:rRNA from 1 species
ACGGAGGGGGCUAGCGUUGUUCGGAAUUACUGGGCGUAAAGCACGCGUAGGCGGACUUUUAAGUCGGGGGUGAAAUCCCGGGGCUCAACCCCGGAACUGCCUUCGAUACUGGAAGUCUGGAGUUCGAGAGAGGUGAGUGGAAUUCCGAGUGUAGAGGUGAAAUUCGUAGAUAUUCGGAGGAACACCAGUGGCGAAGGCGGCUCACUGGCUCGAUACUGGCGCUGAGGUGCGAAAGCGUGGGGAGCAAACAGGA